rnacentral:rRNA from 1 species
AACUUUCAACAAUGGAUCUCUUGGUUCCGGCAUCGAUGAAGAACGCAGCGAAAUGCGAUAAGUAAUGUGAAUUGCAGAAUUCCGUGAAUCAUCGAAUCUUUGAACGCACAUUGCGCCCUCUGGUAUUCCGGAGGGCAUGCCUGUCCGAGCGUCAUU